rnacentral:rRNA from 1 species
AUAACACAUGCAAGUCGAACGAUGAAGCAUUCUUCGGAAUGUGGAAGAGUGGCGAACGGGUGAGGAACACGUAAGAAUCUGCCCCUCGGUCGGGGACAACUCUUGGAAACGAGAGCUAAUACCCGAUACGCUGUGGAGUGAAAGAAUUUCGCCGAGGGAUGAUCUUGCGUCUGAUUAGCUAGUUGGUGUGGUAAUGGCACACCAAGGCGACGAUCAGUAGCUGGUCUGAGAGGAUGGACAGCCACAUUGGAACUGAGACACGGUCCAAACUCCUACGGGAGGCAGCAGUGGGGAAUUUUCCGCAAUGGACGCAAGUCUGACGGAGCGACGCUGCGUGAAGGAUGACGGCCCGCGGGUUGUAAACUUCUUUUCUCGAAGAAGAAACAAAUGACGGUAUUCGAGGAAUAAGCAUCGGCUAACUCCGUGCCAGCAGCCGCGGUAAGACGGAGGAUGCAAGUGUUAUUCGGAAUGAUUGGGCGUAAAGAGUCUGUAGGCCGUAUAAAAAGUCUUUUGUUAAAUGCC